rnacentral:rRNA from 1 species
GUCUACGGCCAUGCCACCCUGAACAAGCCCAAUCCCAUCUGAUCUUGGAAGCUAAGCCAGGUCGGGCCUGGUUAGUACUUGGAUGGGAGACCACCUAGAAAGACCAGGUGCUGUAGGCA